CGGCAGUCCCAGUGCAGGCAGAGGCUCAUGUGACGCGGGAAGCAUUUAGUUUCUUCAGGACUGGUGGUGGAUGGAUCGUGAAGUCCAAUGAUGCUCACUUUGAUCAUGAGCCUGGACUGCGCCACCUUGAUUGUCUCAGCUGACCCUAGCAGAAGCCCAGUAAAGGGGGCGGCCCCGCACCUCUCGGGGAGUUGAUAUGCAAAAUAGUUACGUCAGCUGUGGGGGGUGGGGCAUGCCCGGUUGAGUGGCAGCAGCUCUUGCUUAGGGAGGAGGCGCGAGAAUCAGCCUGGUUCAGUGACUGAGAAAAACUGGAGGUGAGAGGAGCUGGUGCUGUCCACUGUGCUGUCGGUGCUGAACCUGGGACGCCAGCGGACCGGUUGCUCCAGCACCUUCAGGCAACGCCCUCUAGCACCCUCUGCGUCUUGCCGGACCGCUUCACCAGCAGGACUAUAUCAACUUGACAAAGGAGUGUGGUAUCGGACGGACGUGGGAGAGAAUCCUCUAUUUGCCACCUGGGCGCCCAUUCAGGCGUGACUUUGGAGAUUUCUAUAGUUUUAGACCAAACUAUUUUCAUCUUUUUUUCCAGCUAAGAGGAUCUUUUCAUUUUUAAAAAAUUAUUAUUAUUGUCAUAUAUAUAUCCACACCGUUUAGGAAUCUUUCUAGGAGACUUUUUUGACUGUUAAAAUAAGGUGAAAGCAAUAAGGAUGUUUAAGUGCUGGUCAGCUGUUUUGGUACUUGGAUUCAUUUUUCUGGAGUCAGAAGGAAGGCCAACCAAAGAAGGAGGAUAUGGCCUUAAGUCCUACCAGCCUCUAAUAAGGUUGCGACACAAGG